rnacentral:rRNA from 1 species
ACGAACGCUGGCGGCGUGGAUAAGACAUGCAAGUCGAACGAGAGAAUUGCUAGCUUGCUAAUAAUUCUCUAGUGGCGCACGGGUGAGUAACACGUGAGUAACCUGCCCCCGAGAGCGGGAUAGCCCUGGGAAACUGGGAUUAAUACCGCAUAGUAUCGAAAGAUUAAAGCAGCAAUGCGCUUGGGGAUGGGCUCGCGGCCUAUUAGUUAGUUGGUGAGGUAACGGCUCACCAAGGCGAUGACGGGUAGCCGGUCUGAGAGGAUGUCCGGCCACACUGGAACUGAGACACGGUCCAGACACCUACGGGUGGCAGCAGUCGAGAAUCAUUCACAAUGGGGGAAACCCUGAUGGUGCGACGCCGCGUGGGGGAAUGAAGGUCUUCGGAUUGUAAACCCCUGUCAUGUGGGAGCAAAUUAAAAAGAUAGUACCACAAGAGGAAGAGACGGCUAACUCUGUGCCAGCAGCCGCGGUAAUACAGAGGUCUCAAGCGUUGUUCGGAAUCACUGGGCGUAAAGCGUGCGUAGGCUGUUUCGUAAGUCGUGUGUGAAAGGCGCGGGCUCAACCCGCGGACGGCACAUGAUACUGCGAGACUAGAGUAAUGGAGGGGGAACCGGAAUUCUCGAUGUAGCAGUGAAAUGCGUAGAUAUCGAGAGGAACACUCGUGGCGAAGGCGGGUUCCUGGACAUUAACUGACGCUGAGGCACGAAGGCCAGGGGAGCGAAAGGGAUUAGAUACCCCUGUAGUCCUGGCAGUAAACGGUGCACGCUUGGUGUGCGGGGAAUCGACCCCCUGCGUGCCGGAGCUAACGCGUUAAGCGUGCCGCCUGGGGAGUACGGUCGCAAGAUUAAAACUCAAAGAAAUUGACGGGGACCCGCACAAGCGGUGGAGUAUGUGGCUUAAUUCGAUGCAACGCGAAGAACCUUACCUGGGCUUGACAUGUAAUGAACAACAUGUGAAAGCAUGCGACUCUUCGGAGGCGUUACACAGGUGCUGCAUGGCCGUCGUCAGCUCGUGUCGUGAGAUGUUUGGUUAAGUCCAGCAACGAGCGCAACCCCUGUUGCCAGUUACCAGCACGUGAAGGUGGGGACUCUGGCGAGACUGCCCAGAUCAACUGGGAGGAAGGUGGGGACGACGUCAGGUCAGUAUGGCCCUUAUGCCCAGGGCUGCACACGUACUACAAUGCCCAGUACAGAGGGGGCCGAAGCCGCGAGGCGGAGGAAAUCCUGAAAACUGGGCCCAGUUCGGACUGUAGGCUGCAACCCGCCUACACGAAGCCGGAAUCGCUAGUAAUGGCGCAUCAGCUACGGCGCCGUGAAUACGUUCCCGGGUCUUGUACACACCGCCCGUCACAUCAUGGAAGCCGGUCGCACCCGAAGUAUCUGAAGCCAACCGCAAGGAGGCAGGGUCCUAAGGUGAGACUGGUAACUGGGAUG